AUGGCGCCCAAGCGGCCGCUGGAGGCCGUGCCGACGGAGCAGGAGGGACCGCGGUCCCCGAGGAAGCGGCUGCGCCGGACGGUGCUCCUCAUGAUGUGGCUGGAGAGGAGGAGUGCGAGACCGGUCACCGUCGAGCAGCUGGCGCACAUGGUUCGCCAGUUCACGGGGCUCGCCGCGCGGCUUGGCUCCAUGGAGAGGCUGCUCCUCGACCUCCCCAACAUAAUCCACAGAUUGUUGGCGGAGCAGCUUGCUUCUUUUCAGUUUCAGAGGCAGAUGUCAGAAGGUUUCUCUAGAGUCAAGCUGCGGUUUGUCGAUGUUGACAGACCAAAAGAUCCACUUUUCACUGGUUGCCCAGUAAAAUGGCAGAAUGGAAGAAACGCUAAGGUAGCGAUAUUUGGAAAUGAUAGGCAAAUCACACAGGGCGACCUUUCUAAAUUGAAAAUUGAGAUUUUAGCAGUCCAUGCUGAUUUCUUUACUGAGCAAGGACAAGAGGACUUCACCAAAGAGGAAUUCAACAAGCAGAUAUAUAUGCACAAAGGGAAAGAGUCAGUCUUGAAAACUGUUAAUCUAGCAAAUGGUGAGGCAUAUAUUGGUCCCUUCUCCUUUACAGAGAGCUCCCAGAGGAAAAGGUUAAGGUUGACAGCACGAGUGAAAAGGCAGCAUAAAGUGAACAACUGGAAAAAGUCUGCGUAUAAGAAGUUUGACGAGCGCGAGAGCUCAGGGCAUCUUACCCCUGAUUACUUCAUGAUCAAUGGCCGCCCAGUCCGUGCAGUGCCCCAUGAUGCGGGUCCUUCGGUACAAGAAUUUGGUGAUCGACGUCCAUUGAAUGGGUGCUCACAGCCGGCAGUCCUGUCAAACAACGACGCUGGUCCUUCAAACCAAGAAACGCUGCCGUUUUCGCAGCCCACAUAUGAACAGAGUGUGCAUCAAGGACUUGACCAGCACGAUCCUUGUACGUCACAGAGUGUAUCUCCUUACUAUCUGGCCCAGGGAAAUUUCAUAAAUGAUCAGGGACAGGGAUCAUUUUCAGCAGAGCCAACUAUUCCGUCCCACAUUCUUGCACCAGUUCCAGAGGAUGACCCGAUCACAUUCACAGCUGCAAGUCUAACUGGCCAACAGAAUGGACACUUCAGCUUCUCGACAACUAAUGCUCCUGGUACUUCUUAUCCUGCAGCAGUGUUGGGUGCUGAAGGUGUUGCUGGGACUUCCUCAGAUGGAGUUAGUCUGGGAACCUCUUCACCUAACCAUGUGCAGACUGACAUCCUCAGUGGGUUAACUCCGAUUGAAUUCCAGGUAUGGCUAGAACUACAAGCAACUUUGGUAGACCAGGAUUUUGCACAAACUAACAGCGAACUGCUGAAUUCCGACAGCCAAUUUCAUGGUUUUGAACAUGACAGACGCGACCGCUGA
rnacentral:rRNA from 1 species